UAGAAGCAAGUCUAAAAUGAUAGGGUUAGAAAAGGCAAGGAAAAAAUUAUCUCUUGAAAAAGAAUGAAAGAGAAAUUUAGAGAAAAAUUUUUUUCAGUCGAUUAUCAACAAACCUUAUUUCAAAAACUUCACAAUCUUAGGUAGGGGUCUAAAAUAGUACAAGAAUACACUGAAGAAUUUUAUAUCUUGCAAGCCUGUAAUAAUCUUAAGGAGGAUGAAGAAUAGCGAAUAGCUUGCUAUCUUACCGGACUUCGUCUUUAAAUUCAAGAUGAAUUAACCUUUUAUAAUUUUCUGCAGAUCGAUGUGGUCUACAGUCAUGCACUUAAGGCCGAGUCCAAAUUGAAAAGAUAAACAUUCCGACAAGAAAACCUAGGUGAGAAGACUUUUGUAGGAACCAAACUAGUCCUGAAAAAUGACAUCCAACCCCUUCCAAAAUAUGUUGAUACUAAGGGUAAAGGAAUUUUAGGUCCUAAGCCUCUAGAGUCCAAUAUCACUUGUUAUAAGUUUAGACAAUUGGGUCAUAAAUUAUCAGAGUGCCCUUUGAGAUAAUUUCAACCUAAGACAAAUUUGAUUGAAAAUGCCAACAAGAGUGAAUAAGAAGAAGAGAUAAAAAUGUAAGAGAAAGAUGCUAUUGGAGAUAGCAAGAUCCUCGAUGAGCCUGCUGAAGUUACUAAAUCAAACUUAAUGAUCAAUCGUAUCCUUAUCACACCCA
rnacentral:lncRNA from 1 species